UACAGUGUGUGUUAUUACGAGGAGCC
rnacentral:piRNA from 1 species